CGGAGGAAAAGAAACCAACAGGGAUUGCCUCAGUAACGGCGAGUGAAGCGGCAACAGCUCAAAUUUGAAAUCUGGCCUUCGGGUCCGAGUUGUAAUUUGCAGAGGAUGCUUUUGACGAGGUGGCGACCGAGUGCCCUGGAACGGGCCGCCGUAGAGGGUGAGAGCCCCGUAUGGUCGCACUGCCGAGUCUCUGUAAAGCUCCUUCAACGAGUCGAGUAGUUUGGGAAUGCUGCUCUAAAUGGGAGGUGUAUGUCUUCUAAAGCUAAAUACCGGCCAGUGACCGAUAGCGCACAAGUAGAGUGAUCGAAAGGUGAAAAGAACUUUGAAAAGAGAGUUAAAAAGUACGUGAAAUUGUCAAAAGGGAAGCAUUUAUGACCAGACUUGGGCGUGGUUGAUCAUCCGGCGUUCUCGCCGGUGCACUCUGCCCGCCUAGGCCAGCAUCAGUUCGCCUCGGGGGAGAAAGGCUUCGGGAAUGUAGCUCCUUCGGGAGUGUUAUAGCCCGUUGCGUAAUGCCCUGGGGUGGACUGAGGUCCGCGCUCGCGCUUGGAUGUUGGCAUAAUGGUCAUCAAUGACCCGUCUUGAAACACGGACCAAGGAGUCGUCUUCGUAUGCGAGUGUCGGGUGUCAAACCCCUACGCGAAAUGAAAGUGAACGCAGGUGGGAGCUUCGGCGCACCACCGACCGAUCCUGAUGUUCUCGGAUGGAUUUGAGUAAGAGCAUACGGGGCCGGACCCGAAAGAAGGUGAACUAUGCCUGUGUAGGGUGAAGCCAGAGGAAACUCUGGUGGAGGCUCGCAGCGGUUCUGACGUGCAAAUCGAUCGUCAAACAUGGGCAUGGGGGCGAAAGACUAAUCGAACCUUCUAGUAGCUGUUU
rnacentral:rRNA from 1 species